rnacentral:lncRNA from 1 species
CUCUCUCUCUCUCUCUCUCUCUCUCUCUCUCUCUUCUCUCUCUUCUCUCUCUUCUCUCCACCGCCGUCGCCGCCGCCGGAAAUCACCCACCGGCGGCGGACCACCUCCAAACACCUCCAAAUUAACACCAUAUAAUAUCCACAACCUGCUCUUCCCAUAUCUCCAAACCAAUUCCUUCAAAAAACCCUCAAACUCCUUGAAUUUUAGAUCUAAGAAACUUCCGCCACUUUUUGGUCCAAAUUCUUGAAGCUCCGGCCAACACCACCCUACAACACAUACAUUAAUGGAUGGAGCUCCACGAGACCUAUCUUUUCCUAUCCAUUUCACCCCAAAAAUCCCCGUCGCCGCCUGCCCGCUCCUCGCCGCCGCCACGGCUCCACCGCCUCACCACCGCCAAAAUGCCCCGAACCCCCAUUUUAGCUAUUUUUCGACUCAAAGACACUCGUUUCUUUUGGCGAGAUGCUGAAACGCAUUUCGUUCUAGCAUCUACCCGAAAGAAACAUGCAUUUCGGAGUCGGGUAGUCGCCUUUUAGCAUCUCCGGCGUCUUCUCGUGGCUCGAACGGCUUCAAGCAUACUUGUUAGGUAUAAUCGUCAUCUCUUUAAUUAAUUUUUGAUUUUUUUUAAUUUAGUAGAUUAGUUUCUGAUUUUUUUUAUUUUUUUAUUUUUUCUAUUUUGGUUAUUUCUUGUUAAUUAGAGUUUCAAGUUAGGUUUAUUUAAUUAGCUAUCUCUAUUUAGUUUAGUGGUUUGUUAGAUUCGUUAUUGAUUUAAACAUGAUCUUUAGUGUAUUAGUUAAAUCGUUCACUUAGUUAGUCGAUUAUUUAGUUGUUGUUAGUCGUUGUUCAAUUAUUAACGAUGCUCGUUCUGUUUUGAGCAUUAGUUUGUGAAUUUAGUUGUUUGUUUAGUAAUUAGUUUGCACAAAUCCAAUGCAUUCCCAUCAAGUUGGUUUUAAUACUUAGUUCAAUUACGUUUUUAGUCUCGUCUAUGCUUUGUCACAUCUAUGCUUUGUCAGUUCAUAGUUGUCCAAGUUUGAUUUGUGUUGAGCAAGUAGUUUGUUGUUGAUGGUUAAAAUCUGAAGUUUAGUUUAUUUUAUCACAAAAUAGGGUAAUAGUAGCUUACUUUUACUAGUAGGGUGGCUGAAAGGAUAUUUUUUCUCCUUGCUUCUGACACAACAGAUUUUCAGGUUGUCCUUUCACCUUUGGGACAGACCUUGAACAGUGUUUAGCACACAAAGUCAGUCUUUUAGACAGAUUUUUGGUGAACCAAAAUCUGUCCAAAAAUCUAACUUUAUUUGCCUAUUGAAAGGGCUGUUUCUCUCCUAUAAAAGGGACUGUCUUACACUUACAAUGCAGAGAUCCUUACUCACUGAAAAGGGGGACACUCUAUCUUAUACUGAGACACAUCUUGGAGAGUUGCAAAAAGACAUAUAUCUUUGAGAAAAAUUAGCAGCUUAAUACAUAUAACAAGCUGAAAUUUCAGUGUUUUGUGAGGAUUAUUUGAGUGCAAAAACCUCGAG